UACGAAGGGGGGCUAGCGUUGUUCGGAUUUACUGGGCGUAAAGCGCACGUAGGCGGAUUGUUAAGUCGGGGGUGAAAUCCUGGAGCUCACUUCAGAAUUGCCUUCGAUACUGGCUUUCUAGAGGCUGGAAGAGGUUAGUGGAAUUCCCAGUGUAGAGGUGAAAUUCGUAGAUAUUGGGAAGAACACCAGUGGCGAAGGCGGCUAACUGGUCCAGAGUCUGACGCUGAGGCGCGAAAAGCGUGGGGAGCAAACAGGGAUUAAGAAACCC
rnacentral:rRNA from 1 species